GACGAACGCUGGCGGCGUGCCUAAUACAUGCAAGUAGAACGCUGAAGGCGGAGCUUGCUUCUCUGGAUGAGUUGCGAACGGGUGAGUAACGCGUAGGUAACCUGCCUGGUAGCGGGGGAUAACUAUUGGAAACGAUAGCUAAUACCGCAUAAGAGUAGAUGUUGCAUGACAUUUGCUUAAAAGGUGCAAUUGCAUCACUACCAGAUGGACCUGCGUUGUAUUAGCUAGUUGGUGAGGUAACGGCUCACCAAGGCAACGAUACAUAGCCGACCUGAGAGGGUGAUCGGCCAAACUGGGAAUGAGACACGGCCCAGACUCCUACGGGAGGCAGCAGUAGGGAAUCUUCGGCAAUGGACGGAAGUCUGACCGAGCAACGCCGCGUGAGUGAAGAAGGUUUUCGGAUCGUAAAGCUCUGUUGUAAGAGAAGAAAGAGUGUGAGAGUGGAAAGUUCACACUGUGACGGUAUCUGACCAGAAAGGGACGGCUAACUACGUG
rnacentral:rRNA from 1 species